CACGGAGUCGUAGAGCUGAUCCGGGCUAAAGUUCGAUGCCUGCAUCAGCGAAAACAGCUGGUAUAGCUUGGCCAAUUUCGCCAGUUUGGCAUUUAGAAUUGUCGUCUCCGCAAGCAGGUCCUUCAGCUGCGCAAACUGGCUCCUAACAUUCUGGAAGAUAACGGCAAAAAUUCCGUUUAGCAUGCCUAUUUUUCUUAGGGCGUCAUCGUCUUUUGGCAGAUAGACGCUGCCGUAGUGCACGUAGCUUUUUUCUCCGCCGGCCAACGUCACUUCAACAAAUUCGCCAUCUAGGGCGGCAUUUUUGUGGACCGUAUUGCUCGGGUCGUCUUCGCUGAAAUAGCCGACAGAAGGAUUCACUUGAUAGUUGAAAUAUACGAGCUUUCCAUUCUUAGUUGCAAUGCCGUCGCCAAACGGCGAGAGCAUAUUGGCCGCAUUUGGCCUGUCGUCAUCGCCAAGAACGCCGAAAUAGGCGCUGGCCGCAAGAAGAUCUUCUGGCGUAAUCGGUCUAGCGGUCGACAUGAACUCCAUGGUACGGACCUAAAUCGCCAUUGGAAGCGAAAAAAUUCUCUGGCGGCUGCUGCCGCGGAAAUUGCUGCGGAUAAACGGUCCUAAGGUAGCGAAAUUCCUUGUCAGGUAAGUUCUGACCUGCACGAAUCGUGUAACGAGUGGGGCGCUGUCUCGGGGAGACGCUCAGUGAAAUUGUAGUCGCGGUGAAAAUGCCGCGUACCUGCAGCAGGACGGAAAGACCCUAUGGACCUUUACUGUAACCUGGUAUUGGUGUUUGACUUUUGAUGCGUAGCAUAGGUGGGAGACCGUGAUGGGGCGUUUCAGGGCGCUCCGGAGUCAUCGUUGAAAUACCACUCUUCAUUUGUUAGAUAUCUAACCGCGAGCCAUUAGCUGGCCGCGGGACCGUGCUAGGGGGUCAGUUUGACUGGGGCGGUCUCCUCCUAAAGAGUAACGGAGGAUUGCGAAGGUUCUCUCAGGCCGGAUGGCAAUCGGUCAUAGAGCGCAUAGGUAUAAGAGAGCUUUACUGUGAGACCAACAAGUCGAGCAGUUACGAAAGUAGGUCUAAGUGAUCCGGUGGUUUAAUGUGGAAUUGCCAUCGAUUAAAGGAUAAAAGGUACCCUAGGGAUAACAGGCUGAUAGCGCCCAAGCGUUCAUAGCGACGGCGCUGUUUGGCACCUCGAUGUCGGCUCAACACAUCCUGGGGCUGGAGAAGGUCCCAAGGGUUUGG
rnacentral:rRNA from 1 species